rnacentral:rRNA from 1 species
UUCCGGUUGAUCCUGCCGGAGGCCAUUGCUAUCGGAGUCCGAUUUAGCCAUGCUAGUCGUGCGAGUUCAGACUCGCGGCACCGAGCUCAGUAACACGUGGCCAAACUACCCUACAGAGACGGAUACCCUCGGGAAACUGAGGUUAACCCGUCAUACCGAUCUCAGGCUUGAAUCGCAGAGAUCACAAAAUGCCCCGGCGCUGUAGGAUGUGGCUGCGGUUGAUUAGGUAGACGGUGGGGUAACGGCCCACCGUGCCCAUAAUCAGUACAGGUUGUGAGAGCAAGAACCUGGAGACGGAAUCUGAGACAAGAUUCCGGGCCCUACGGGGCGCAGCAGGCGCGAAACCUUUACACUGCACGCACGUGCGAUAAGGGGACUCCGAGUGCGAGGGCAUAUCGUCCUCGCUUUCGUGUACCGUAGGGUGGUACACCAACAAGGGCUGGGCAAGACCGGUGCCAGCCGCCGCGGUAAUACCGGCAGCCCGAGUGAUGGCCGAUCUUAUUGGGCCUAAAGCGUCCGUAGCUGGCUGCGCAAGUCCGUCGGGAAAUCCACUCGCCCAACGAGUGGGCGUCCGACGGAAACUGCACAGCUUGGGACCGGAAGGCUCGAAGGGUACGUUCGGGGUAGGAGUGAAAUCCCAUAAUCCCGCACGGACCACCGAUGGCGAAAGCACUUCGAGAAAACGGAUCCGACAGUGAGGGACGAAAGCCACGGUCUCCAACCGGAUUAGAUACCCGGGUAGUCCUGGCCGUAAACAAUGUUCGCUAGGUAUGACACAGACUACGUGUCUCUGUUGUGCCGUAGGGAAGCCGAGAAGCGAACCGCCUGGGAAG